rnacentral:rRNA from 1 species
GACGAACCGUACGAACGUUAUUCGGAAUUACUGGGCUUAAAGGGUGCGUAGGCGGCCUGGUAAGUUGGGUGUGAAAUCCCUCGGCUCAACCGAGGAAUUGCGCUCAAUACUGCUUGGCUUGAGGGAGACAGAGGUGAGCGGAACUCAGGGUGGAGCGGUGAAAUGCGUUGAUAUCCUGAGGAACACCAGUAGCGAAGGCGGCUCACUGGGUCUUUUCUGACGCUGAGGCACGAAAGCUGGGGGAG